GAAAGUCUACUGUGACAACUCAGCUGGAGUCUUCCUAGCUAAUAACGACAAAAGUGGAAGUCGAAGUAAGCACAUCGACAUCAAGUUCUUAGCUAUUAGGGAGCGCAUUAAAAAGAAAAUUG